GUAUUUGUAAUAUUAGCUUUUGAUUUAGUUUAAGUCCAGAUGCCCAUGACUUCAGCAUUUGAGCAACCCAUGGAUGGAGUCUUAGAGUAUGGCGAUUCGUUGGACACUGCUGAAGGUGUGUCGUUGGAUGUAACUGACAAUAUUGAUGAAUUGGCCUUAAGGCGACCCCCAACUACACUACGAAAUACGACGGCUGCAAAAUAUAAUCACACGAACUGCAAUUGUAUCCUGAAUAUUCCAAAAAUUGAAUUUCAUCGACAAGUUAACCCUCACUUGCUCUGUGGCGAGGACUUGACAAACUUUCUCAAUGACUUGAACAAAGUAAACCGCAGGCAUCUGCCCGAAGAAUCUGAAUUGCGUUGUUUAUUGACUCCAAAAUUGCGACAAAGUAUUACCAACUGCGCCGGAAACUUCCAGAGAUCCGAGGGGCGAUUCGAGGAACAAACAAUCAGUGGUUCGACUAGCAGAGCAGUCGAUUUGGCGCACUUAUUUGAGGUUCACUGGAAUAGAGAAAUUCACGAGCGAAUGCAUGACCUUCCUAGAGCAAUCAGAACUAUAGUAGAUAUCCUGCAAAAUGAAACAGAAAAUAAAAAUGAUGAUCUUGAGGCUUGGAAUCAGCAGCUGAGGGAGUAUGCCGAUGAUUUGAAAUAUAUAGUCGAUGAAUUGGAGCGAAGGUCUAAGUACGUUACUUGGAGCAAUUAAUUUCAGCAAGCAAUUAAGUUUGAACUAUAUGGGCAUGGAGUUGAGGGCUGUAAGCUCAAAACUCAUUGUUUUUUAUUGAAAAUACUCGUGUCUCAAAUUACCUACCUUUAUACGAGAAAAGUAGUUUAACACAUAUAUUAUAACCGCAAUUUCAAUUAUUAUAAAUUUAACUUUGUAGUUUUUACUAAAAAUCUUGUCUGAAAAAUUUUAUUUCCCAUUC